CUUCCGUGGGCGCUGCAGAUUUGAGGAAGCCUGCUCCUAGUACGAGAGGACCGGAGUGGACACACCUCUGGUGUACCGGUUGUCACGCCAGUGGCAUUGCCGGGUAGCUAAGUGUGGAAGAGAUAACCGCUGAAAGCAUCUAAGCGGGAAACUCGUUCCAAGAUGAGAUCUGCCGGGGCCUUGAGCCCCCUAAAGAGUCGUUCAAGACCAGGACGUUGAUAGGUCAGGUGUGGAAGCGCAGUAAUGCGUUAAGCUAACUGAUACUAAUUGCUCGUGCGGCUUGACCCUAUAACUUUG
rnacentral:rRNA from 1 species